rnacentral:rRNA from 1 species
AUGAACGCUAGCGACAGGCUUAACACAUGCAAGUCGAGGGGCAGCGGGGUUUUCGGACCGCCGGCGACCGGCGCACGGGUGAGUAACACGUAUGCAACCUACCUUUAACACAGGGAUAGCCCGUUGAAAGACGGAUUAAUACCUGAUAAUACAGGGAUACCGCAUGGUAUUAUUUGUUAAAGAUUUAUUGGUUAAAGAUGGGCAUGCGUUGGAUUAGGUAGUUGGUAUAGGUAACGGCUUACCAAGCCAUCGAUCCAUAGGGGUUCUGAGAGGAAGGUCCCCCACACUGGUACUGAGACACGGACCAGACUCCUACGGGAGGCAGCAGUGAGGAAUAUUGGUCAAUGGUCGAGAGACUGAACCAGCCAAGUCGCGUGAAGGAUGACGGUAUUAUGUAUUGUAAACUUCUUUUGUAUGGGAAUAAAAAAGGGGACGUGUCCCUUCUUGUAUGUACCAUACGAAUAAGCAUCGGCUAACUCCGUGCCAGCAGCCGCGGUAAUACGGAGGAUGCGAGCGUUAUCCGGAUUUAUUGGGUUUAAAGGGUGCGUAGGUGGAUUGAUAAGUCAGCAGUGAAAGUUUUCAGCUUAACUGGAAAAUUGCCGUUGAAACUGUCAGUCUUGAGUGUGAACGAGGUAGGCGGAAUUCGUAGUGUAGCGU